CUACGUGCCAGCAGCCGCGGUAAUACAGAAGGUCCAGGCGUUAUCCGGAUUUAUUGGGUUUAAAGGGAGCGUAGGCUGGAGAUUAAGUGUGUUGUGAAAUGUAGACGCUCAACGUCUGAAUUGCAGCGCAUACUGGUUUCCUUGAGUACGCACAACGUUGGCGGAAUUCGUCGUGUAGCGGUGAAAUGCUUAGAUAUCAUGAAGAACUCCGAUUGCGAAGGCAGCAUACGGGAGUGUAACUGACGCUUAAGCUCGAAGGUGCGGGUAUCGAACAGGAUUAGAUACCCUGGUAGUCCGCACAGUAAACGAUGGAUGCCCGCUGUUAGCGCCUGGCGUUAGCGGCUAAGCGAAAGCAUUAAGCAUCCCACCUGGGGAGUACGCCGGCAACGGUGAAACUCAAAGGAAUUGACGGGGGCCCGCACAAGCGGCGGAGCAUGCGGAUUAAUUCGAUGCAACGCGAAGAACCUUACCAAGGCUUGACAU
rnacentral:rRNA from 1 species